rnacentral:tRNA from 1 species
GACUUGAUAGCUCAGUUGGUAGAGCGGUAGACUGAAGAUCUGCGCGUCGGAGGUUCGAAUCCUUCUCGGGUCUCAA